UCCCCGCAAUUGUGCACGCGAGCCGCGUGGUUCUUGCCAGUACACUGCAGUUUAGCUCUGCACUCUAUUCUUUCCCGCUUGCUGUGCACCUUUACACCCUGUGAGACAUUCACAACUAUAAAAUUCAUGUAGGCUGUACACCAUGGUUACGAGAAGCUUUAUUGUCUUCCCCAAUUCCAAAUGGCAGGGUUCAAUCCAAAUCGCAUCGUUGUAUCAAAACCCUAGCCAUCAGAUUAUUUGAUACCUCUGAAUUCCUGUUACUUUCUGUAGUUGCUCAGAGUUGCGUUUUUUGGUGAUUGAAUUGCAAUUCUCUGUCAAUAGAUCAAAGAUACAGUAGAGGAGUUUAAAAGGAAGUGAGACUGCUGAAGGUGGAAAUGGAAGCUGCUCAAGUUUUUCUGGCAGAGCAGUUUUCUAGUCCUAGAUUGGAUUCUGUAUCAGCAUCCUCUGCAAAGAAGCAGUACGAUUCAUCUACAAGAACCAGGAGAAGAAUUUGGGAUAUAAUUACCUCCCGUUGGGACAAAAUAUCAUGUCGCAUUCAUUAGCCUUGCAAGUGAAAGUGCUGGUUACAUCAUUAAAUGCAUAGCUUUAAGCUCUUGGACAUGCACUCUUGAAGAUAUUUGAGUAGAAUGAUGGCCGGCAAGUUGCGACUUCUUCGCUGCAGCAGUACUGGUCUUGUCCGAAAGACUAACAUGUGCUCUUGCAGCCAUCAGCUUCGCUCCCACCUUCACCUUCACCAUUACCAAUCACCUGAAGGUUUUUUGGACAACCUGUUCGAUGUCCAAUAUUGAUUACUCAGAUGAAUACGUUUUUACACAGAUGUAAGUUUACUCAGGUGAAUCAUAAUUUCGACACCUUUAGCUUGAAAAAUAAAUAAAUUUUCUCUUUGGCAGCAAAUGAUCUACAUUCGUAUACAUUUGUGUUAAUGCCCUCAUGUGUGUGCACACCUUGUCUAUUUAUGGGCAUUUCAUCCAUUCAUUUGAGGAGAUGUCACAAAUUGGACCACAUUGCAAAAAGAAAAACUGCACCAUUUUGGAUGAUUCGUAGAAAUUUGCAAUCUAGAUGAUAAAUGAGAUUUUUGACACUUAAGAAAGUAUUAAGAUCACUAUCCUUUAUCCCUUAGAUAUCUGAUAUUAAACAUAAAUUUUCCAUAUGGUUUUGAAAUGGUAUUUGUAGCACUUCUUCCGUUUAUGAAGACAGCAUAUUGUAAUUUGACUAAAUCUUGGAUUUACCAAAUAUCAUCACAUUCCAUCAAGUAGAAUUAAUUCUCACUGAAGUUAGCAAUGGAUUCUUUGUCCAGUUAAUUAAUUCGGAAGUAGACACUCUUAAAGAUGGUUUUGAGUGUUUUCAUUCCUCAAAAAUGCCAUCUGUCAUGAUCACUGUGUUUUAAUUUAAGGCAAAUACAUUUCUUAAAAUCCAAGUUCACAUAUUUAUUUAAGGCAAAUACAUUUCUUAAAAUCCAAGAGUAUGCUCAGAGAGUGGCUUCGGACGCCUGUUUAUGAGACCAUUAAGGAAGGCCCUUCUCAUGAGCCUUUCUUUAAAAUAGCAGUAAUUCUGGACAACAUUAAAUACUAUUCUGUACCUGGAUUUUAUAAUCGCAAGGCGGCAGAGCAGUCAGCUGCUGAAGUAGCUCUCUUGGAACUUGUCAAAUCUGUGGACACUUUUUUGGCAUCUCUCAACCAGUGGUAAUUAUCUUGGAUGAACAAGGAAUUAUUUGCUCAUUACGUGUAGAACCAUGUACAUUUUUAGCACGAUUUAUUGAUUUCCUUGUAUCUUCUGCUUAAUGCCAUCAUAAUAACCCUCUACUCCUUGGUUCCUCCCUUCUCCCAGAAACAAAAACUGCUUUUAUCUUGCAUUUGUUGGUGCAGUGGGUUUAUGCCGAAAUUUCCCAACUUUUGCUAAAACUAGUUUUGAGUAAAAUGAGGGCGAUACAGUAUCUGGAAAUAUCAAUAGGAAGGGUUUGCUUGAAUUGCAUUAUAGUAAUCUUAAGUUCUCCUUGGUCAACUCAAUGACUUGCCUAUUUAAUUAUCAAAAUACCAUUUGAGUGUUAAUUUUGUGAUGCAAGAUUACUGAAAUUAUUGUAUGACCUUUGCUAUUUUUGGUCAGAAAAUUCUCGCACAACCUGGUUGCUCAAAAUUGAAAUUCUACUAUUUGCUAAACGUUGAUAGUGGUGCUAAGUUUGUUAUUCAUAGUCACUCUAAUUGAGACAGUGCUCUUCAGCAUGAUCAAUGAAAUACCUCGGUGAUUACUAAACAAUUGGGACACUAUCUUCAAGAAGCAUUAUCACUAAGAAUAAUAAAAAUCGCCUUUACAAUACGAACAUAGGAAUAAGAUUUGUGUUUGUAGUGUAGCAGGUUACUGAUUGGUCUAGAAAAUCUGAUCUUACACAUCCCAUAGAGGAAAACAAAGUGAAACUAAGAAGCCCUGUUAAAAUUCUAAAAAGAGCAACUAAGUGUGUUUGUUUUGCUUGUUCUAGUCGUUGGUUCUUUCCCGUUUCAAUUCUCUUCAUCUUUUUUAUCUGUGUUGGUAUUGUUUGAAGGGUUUAUAUUUCAGUGUCAGACUGCCUUGUGCAAAAAUUUGUUACAAGAAUAUGCUCGAAAGAUGAACUUCGCAGUUCCAUUAUAUGAAUUCCAUAAAAUUGAGGGAGGAAGACGAACAACGUUGUUUUCUUGUACUGUUUAAAUUGGGGGCAUCAAAUAUAUUAGAGCUUCAGCAAGCACGAAGAAGGAAGCUGGGAUUAAAGCUGGAGGACUGCCUCAUUGGCCAUCCAGGCUGAUACAUCUGCCUCUGAAGAUCGUGUUGGAAAAUCUAUUUACGCUGUUGUUCCUUGUAAAAAGAAGGUACCAAAUCCUCGAAUCAGCACUCAGGAGACUUUAGCAACCUUCAAGCCGAAGGAAUGUCAUUUCAAGAAGCAGCAGUGGAAGAAGAGACGUGUUAUGACAGGGGUAACCCUGAUGGUCGGGCGGGAGUAGAAUUGUGUGUAAUUGAUGCUGUUGGCAUGGCUGGUGGUUUGGAUGUCGAUUUGGAUUGUUGGGCAUGAAUGGAAUUUGGUGUAACUGAUGCUAUUGUGGUUUCCAUGGAGAAAGAAUCUGGGCUUGCCCUCAUGGCAAAUAUUUGUUAUGGAGAGUUAAGAAAAUAAUUUGAGACGACGUUUUGUGGAUUUUCGAGUUUUAUCUCAAACAGGGCUACUUAUUUGAUCCUGAUGAUUACUGCUGCUGUCAAUGAAACAUGGAGCCUUGAAGGUAUGAUUAAUUCACACUCUAGAUAAUGUGUUUGAAUUUGAGUUAUUUUUAUAGGAUUAUUUGUUUUGUUAUAAUUCUUUAAUGAGCAUUUUCUGUUCUAUUUUCAUAAUGUUUGGCUGCAUUUUCUGUUUCCCUUAUUAGACUUGUUCAAUUUUAUUCUGACCUGUAAGCUGCAACUCAAGCUAGAAAAUUAGUUCCAAUAGAAUUUAGUUUGGAGAAUUAUUUGAAGGUGAAUUAGAUCAUACUAAACUAUUUUAAUGAGAAAAACAAGUUAAAAUAUUCUCGGUCAUUAUGAUCUAGUACUGCAUAAAACGAGUAACUUUUCUGACUUGUAAGUUGUGACUCAAGCUAGAAAAUUAGGUCCAAAAGAAUUUAGUUUGGAGAAAUAUUUGGAGGUGAAUUAGACAAUAUUGAAGGAUCUUAGAUAAGAUAAACAAGUAAAAUAUUCUCUGUCAUUAUGAUCUAGUUCUGCAUAAAAACGAGUAGAUUUUUAAAUAGAAAUCCUAGUUUUCUAGAAUUUUUUUCUGUCUGUCAAAGUAUAGAUUCUUCUUCUUCCUGCCAAAGAUGAAGUCAGUCCAUUAUUUGUGAAAAUUUAGUAGUACUAUUGGAUCUUGUAGUAGAUCUGAUAACGAACAAAACUGAAUAGUAAA